rnacentral:rRNA from 1 species
AAUCAAGCGCGAGAAGGGCGUUUGGUGGAUGCCUUGGCAGCAAGAGGCGAUGAAGGACGUGAUACUCUGCGAUAAGCUGUGGCGAGCCGAGAAUAGGCUUUGACCCACAGAUCUCCGAAUGGGGCAACCCACCUGACAGUUUCCUAUUGUUACUUCGGUAAUCAAUAGGUCGCUGAAACAGGUACUUAAGACCUGAAUACAUAGGGUUUUAAGAGCAAACCCGGGGAACUGAAACAUCUAAGUACCCGGAGGAAAGGAAAUCAAUAUGAUACUCCCCUAGUAGUGGCGAGCGAACGGGGACCAGCCGAGCCAUGAGAGUGACCAGAACUGUUUGGAAAGGCAGGCCAUAGUGGGUGACAGCCCCGUAUGGGAAGCAUGAUUGGACGUAUUAAGUAGGGCGGGACACGUGAAAUCCUGUCUGAAGAUCGGAGGACCACCUUCGAAGG